rnacentral:rRNA from 1 species
UAACAUGCAAGUCGAACGAUUAAAGCUCCCUUCGGGGAGUGUAUAGAGUGGCGCACGGGUGAGUAACACGUAAGUAAUCUACCUUCGAGUGGGGAAUAACGUCCGGAAACGGACGCUAAUACCGCAUAAUGCAGCGGCAUCGCAAGAUGACAGUUGUUAAAGAUUUAUCGCUUGAAGAGGAGCUUGCGGCAGAUUAGCUAGUUGGUAAGGUAAUGGCUCUACCAAGGCUACGAUCUGUAACCGGUCUAAGAGGACGGUCGGUCACACUGACACUGAAUAACGGGUCAGACUCCUACGGGAGGCAGCAGUCGGGAAUUUUGGGCAAUGGGCGAAAGCCUGACCCAGCAACGCCGCGUGAAGGAUGAAGUAUUUCGGUAUGUAAACUUCGAAAGAAUGGGAAGAAUAAAUGACGGUACCAUUUAUAAGGUCCGGCUAACUACGUGCCAGCAGCCGCGGUAAUACGUAGGGACCAAGCGUUGUUCGGAUUUACUGGGCGUAAAGGGCGCGUAGGCGGCUUGUCAAGUCACUUGUGGAAAUCCUCUGGGCUUUAACCCCAGAACGGCCAAA